GACGGAGGGUGCAAGCGUUGUUCGGAAUUACUGGGCGUAAAGGGCGCGUAGGCGGUCUGUUAAGUUCGGUGUGAAAGCCCCCGGCUCACCUGGGGAACUGCGCCGGAAACCGACAGACUCGAGUACCGGAGAGGAGGGUGGAAUUCCUGGUGUAGCGGUGAAAUGCGUAGAUAUCAGGAGGAACACCGGUGGCGAAGGCGGCCCUCUGGACGGAUACUGACGCUGGAGGCGCG
rnacentral:rRNA from 1 species